GCACUGCUGAAGAGUCCCACAAUAGAACGAAACAGCCUUUCAGUGC
rfam:Schistosoma haematobium scaffold205_2, whole genome shotgun sequence.